ensembl:lncRNA
GUGCUGUCAGUAUAUGGUCUCCAGCUGUCUGUUCUUUCAAAGUUUGCCUCAGCUGCAAAGACACUUCUCAAAGCCACAGGGCCAAGACUUCUGAAAACCAAACCUAGAGUCAUCCUGUGAGUGGCUGAAUCCCUAUGCAGAUUGAAUCCUCUGUUUCAUAGUGUAUCUUCUGUUAGAGUACAUUGAUAAGGAAUGGGAUCCUGAAUGUUGGAAUGGAGAUAUUAAGACAAAUGUCAACAAUGGAGACAUCACAUCCCUAAAUUCUGCUGAGUCAUCUUUGCUACUAGAAGAAACCCUUCCACUCCUGCCUGAGCAGGCAUACCUAUGGUCUAAUGGAGAUUUCCCCAUGAUCAAUUGACUGAGGAAGAGACUUCAGGGCUGACUGACAGAUAGUCCUGCAUGAUAUGUAGGCACCAAAGGUGGACAGCUGCAGCACUACAGCUCCUUUCUGGGACAUUCUCAAGGGAUAGUGAUGAAGGAAAAUCCUCCCAGUGAGCAGAACUUCGAUCAGGGCACCUGGUGGUUCAGUUUGUUUGGAAGGAGAAAUGACUAGAGGCUCUGCUGGUCUAUAUGUUGUAGUUCUAAAAUGAAGAAUGAUUCCACCAGGAAACAUGAGUCCAUCGAACCGAAAGUUGAGACUGCCGCCUGGCCACUUUAGGCUCUUCAUGCCUCCUCAUGAAUUAACAGACAAAGAAGUACUGUACUGGCUCAGGUGACUGUUCCUGAUUACCGAGGGGAAAUUCAUAUUGCUACUACACAACAGAGGUAUAGUGGAUAGUGUCCUGUGUCAUCCAAGAAGAGACCACAGAGCCUGCGGAACUGAUACAGAGAAGAAGGCCAUGUGAAGACAGAGGCGGACUGGAGUGAUGCUGCCACAAGCCAAGGAACACCUGGAGUCACUAGUAGCCGGAAGAGGUCACACCCAAGGCACCACUGGGGUCUCUUCUGACCAGAUGAUGAAAUGGGAGAAAAAGGAUGUCAAUCCUUUGAAGAGUUCCAGCCAGCCUAAACUGCUCCACAAGAUGGCAUGGAGGAGACAAUGUCUACCAAAGCAACAAGUAAUGUGCUGAUGAGAGGGGUAUCAGCAUCGUUAAGAAGUUCAGUGGUGGCUGCCCUCUGUAAGCCAGAACUGACACUAGGAGAUGCCAUUACAGAACUGGGAUUGCUGAGAGAAAAGCGGACAAUCAGAUUCUGAAACAGUAAGGCAGGUGAUGAUGCAAACCAUCAGAAGCCAAGUGAUACAAUUAUUAUAAUCAGAAGAGUGGUCAGAGUGGCAGCCAGAGGGUUGCAAUCUGGCUCGAAGAGAUCUGAACCAUGAGGACAUUUUGUGGAAUGUAACAUGGGUCCACUAUAUAGAUGACAUCAUGGUAAUCUGGCUAGAUGAGCAAAAAGUGGCUGACACUUUGGAGGCCUUCUUAAGCCUAGUGUGGCACCAAGAAUAUGGUAGAUGCUCAGCAAAACUGAAGAAAGGGUGGCAGGAAGUGAAAACUCAACUCCUGAGUUCCUGCAUAUAUGACCCAGUGAAGAAUUAUUUCUGUCUGAAAGGAGAAAGGAUUCUGGGGAGACAGCAGGGCCCGAACCACCAUGAAUCUGUCUCCCCACCUAGACAACAAUGGCACUAGCAGAAUCUGUCUGAUGUAACUAUUUUGGAACUCUGGAGUCUAUUGAAGGCUUGCAACUUCCAGGGGAAGGUUUCGAAGGCAUGUCUUUCCAGCUGGGCCAGACUGAAAUCUCAAUCUUGUGACCACUGCGUUUUUCCAAAGAUGACUGCAAAAUCUCUCCUAUCCCACGUGCUCUUCUUACAAUGUGACCUUGAUGUUCUCCCAUCAAGUGUUGGGGUCCAUGUUCCUUCCCCUAGAACCUGGGCAGAGUUUUCUGUCUUGACUAAUAAACUCUGAUGGAAGUCACACUAAGCAACUCUUAAGACUAGAAAAUAAGAAUGCCAUGCUCUUCUACCUGCUUUCUUAGAGACGCCUACGAUUGGAAUCCAGCUGUCAUACUGUGAAGAAAUCCAAACUCACCCAGGUGGAGAGACCAACAGAGAGGCCACAUAUAGAUACUUUGGGUAAACAUUCAGCUGAGGUCUCAGCCAAUAACUAAUCAGCUGCUAGACACGUGAGUGAACCUGUCUUUAGAUACCUCCAUCUCCCAGCUGUGAAGCCACCAUUAUCCUUUGAGGCCCAGAGAAGAUCCUAAACACAGUAGAGAGAAGCCAUCCCCACGAUGCUCUGUCUGAAUUCCUGACCCACAAAAUUGAUGAACCUAAUAAUAUGAUUAUUUUGUACCACUAAGUUUGGAGCCUUUUGUUAAGCAACAAUAAAUAACUAUACAGGUUGUUAGAAUAAAUACCCUGGUUCACUCUCCUCCCUCAAUCUUCUGUUAGUACACCCCACAGGCCAAACCAACUGGAAUCCAGAGAGCAGGGGAGCCCACCGAAACAAACCA